GGCGAUGCAUGGCGCUGAUUGGCUGACCUUAGGAGGCGUGGGCCGGAAGUGGCCGGAGAUUGGCAGCCAGGAUUAGGGGAUGAAGGCGUUUAGAUGGAAACCCAAGAUUGACUCAAUAUUACGGAGAAGAUCCACCUCUUAGCAGCAUCCCAGGACACUUGGAUAGCCUGUCCUUGGUUCUCAGCUUUUAUCACCAACUGCGACCUCUUCUGUGGACAGGACGUACCCUGCAGUCUUAUCACCUUCUGAAAGGCAUGGAUUGCGCCCUGUUCCUGAAGUUCUGAAGUUAUCGCUACAGCUAACCGGUUUGUCCUUCGCUUUCUGCUGAGAAAGCAUGCCCUGCAUGAGGUGAGGCAGUUUAAAUAAACUAAGUUUCCCUAGUCA